GGCUUCAGCUUCCCAUCCCGCCUGGGGACCGAGCCGCCAGCCGCAGACAUGACCCCCAGCCUGGCCAUCGCCUUCCUCCUGCUGCUCCCCGCGGGUGUCUAUUCCCAGGUCAGCCUGGUGGAGUCCGGUGGGGGAGUCAAGAAGCCCGGGGAGACCCUCAGACUGACCUGCACCGUGUCCGGAUUCUCCAUCACUAGCUACGGGGUGAACUGGGCCCGCCAGCCAGCGGGGAAGGGGCUGGAAUGGGUCGGUACCAUCUGGUCGGGUGGAAGCACUGAUUAUAAUGACGCUCUCAAAAAUCGCCUCAGCAUCACCAAAGACACUUCCAAGAGCCAAGUGUUCCUGCAACUGACCGGCCUGCAGCCCGGAGACACCGCCGUGUAUUACUGUGCCAGGGACAGGGCGUACGGACACUUUUCUGGGAGAGGCGAUCUCCUCUCUCCGUAUUUCUGCAGCACCCCGCUGCUUCCACCCAGGCGGCUUUGGGAGAAGCAACGACUCAUAUGA